UACGAAGGGUGCAAGCGUUACUCGGAAUUACUGGGCGUAAAGCGUGCGUAGGUGGUUUGUUAAGUCUGUUGUGAAGCCCCGGGCUCAACCUGGGAAUGGCAAUGGAUACUGGCAAGCUAGAGUGCGGUAGAGGGUAGUGGAAUUCCCGGUGUAAGCGGUGAAAUGCGUAGAGAUCGGGAGGAACACCAGUGGCGAAGGCGGCUACCUGGACCAGCACUGACACUGAGGCACGGAAAGCGUGGGGAGCAAACAG
rnacentral:rRNA from 1 species